AAAAAGCUCAAAUGAGUGAGAAGGACGAUGAAGGAAACAUCUGUGCUGUGUCUGCUCUUACUUCUAUUCACUGACAUCUUAAUCCUGGGUUCUCCUGAGCUUGAACCUGAACGUCAGACAAACCAUCGACUGCAGGAGACAUGAGCCUCAGACCAUCUCACCAUCAUCAUCUUCAUCAUCACCAUCAUCAUCAUCAUCAUCAUCAUCAUCAGACAUGGCUGGUAAGGACAUGAGGAGGAAACAGUAGGAGCUGUGUGAGGCUACUAAAGG